AUUGAACGCUGGCGGCAUGCCUUACACAUGCAAGUCGAACGGCAGCACGGGAGCAAUCCUGGUGGCGAGUGGCGAACGGGUGAGUAGUACAUCGGAACGUGCCUAGUAGUGGGGGAUAGCCCGGCGAAAGCCGGAUUAAUACCGCAUACGACCUGAGGGUGAAAGCGGGGGAUCGCAAGACCUUACGCUAUCAGAGCGGCCGAUGCCAGAUUAGGUAGUUGGGGGGGUAAAAGCCUACCAAGCCGACGAUCUGUAGCUGGUCUGAGAGGACGACCAGCCACACUGGGACUGAGACACGGCCCAGACUCCUACGGGAGGCAGCAGUGGGGAAUUUUGGACAAUGGGCGCAAGCCUGAUCCAGCCAUGCCGCGUGCAGGAAGAAGGCCUUCGGGUUGUAAACUGCUUUUGUCAGGGAAGAAAAGUUCUGGGCUAAUACCCCGGAGCGAUGACGGUACCUGAAGAAUAAGCACCGGCUAACUACGUGCCAGCCGCCGCGGUAACAC
rnacentral:rRNA from 1 species